rnacentral:rRNA from 1 species
AAAACGACUCUCGGCAACGGAUAUCUCGGCUCUCGCAUCGAUGAAGAACGUAGCGAAAUGCGAUACUUGGUGUGAAUUGCAGAAUCCCGUGAACCAUCGAGUCUUUGAACGCAAGUUGCGCCCGAAGCCGUCAGGCUGAGAGCACGUCUGCCUGGGCGUCACGC